rnacentral:rRNA from 1 species
UACGAAGGGGGCUAGCGUUGUUCGGAAUUACUGGGCGUAAAGCGCACGUAGGCGGAUUUGUAAGUCAGGGGUGAAAUCCCGGGGCUCAACCUCGGAACUGCCUUUGAUACUGAGGAUCUUGAGUUCGGGAGAGGUGAGUGGAACUGCGAGUGUAGAGGUGAAAUUCGUAGAUAUUCGCAAGAACACCAGUGGCGAAGGCGGCUCACUGGCCCGAUACUGACGCUGAGGCACGAAAGCGUGGGGAGCAAACAGG